rnacentral:rRNA from 1 species
UGAACGCUGGCGGCGUGCCUAAUACAUGCAAGUCGAGCGCACAGACGAGGAGCUUGCUCCUCUGACGUUAGCGGCGGACGGGUGAGUAACACGUGGAUAACCUACCUAUAAGACUGGGAUAACUUCGGGAAACCGGAGCUAAUACCGGAUAAUAUAUUGAACCGCAUGGUUCAAUAGUGAAAGACGGUUUUGCUGUCACUUAUAGAUGGAUCCGCGCCGCAUUAGCUAGUUGGUAAGGUAACGGCUUACCAAGGCAACGAUGCGUAGCCGACCUGAGAGGGUGAUCGGCCACACUGGAACUGAGACACGGUCCAGACUCCUACGGGAGGCAGCAGUAGGGAAUCUUCCGCAAUGGGCGAAAGCUUGACGGAGCAACGCCGCGUGAGUGAUGAAGGUCUUCGGAUCGUAAAACUCUGUUAUUAGGGAAGAACAAAUGUGUAAGUAACUAUGCACGUCUUGACGGUACCUAAUCAGAAAGCCACGGCUAACUACGUG